UAUGUACUCCCUCUGUUCGGAAUUACUUGUCUCGGAAAUGGAUGUAUCUAGAACUAAAAUACAUCUAGAUACAUCCAUUUCUGCGACAAGUAAUUCCGAAUGGAGGGAGUACCUC
rnacentral:pre_miRNA from 1 species